GACGAACGCUGGCGGCGUGCUUAACACAUGCAAGUCGAACGGAAAGGCCCUGCUUUUGUGGGGUGCUCGAGUGGCGAACGGGUGAGUAACACGUGAGUAACCUGCCCUUGACUUUGGGAUAACUUCAGGAAACUGGGGCUAAUACCGGAUAGGAGCUCCUGCUGCAUGGUGGGGGUUGGAAAGUUUCGGCGGUUGGGGAUGGACUCGCGGCUUAUCAGCUUGUUGGUGGGGUAGUGGCUUACCAAGGCUUUGACGGGUAGCCGGCCUGAGAGGGUGACCGGCCACAUUGGGACUGAGAUACGGCCCAGACUCCUACGGGAGGCAGCAGUGGGGAAUAUUGCACAAUGGGCGGAAGCCUGAUGCAGCAACGCCGCGUGCGGGAUGACGGCCUUCGGGUUGUAAACCGCUUUCGCCUGUGACGAAGCGUGAGUGACGGUAAUGGGUAAAGAAGCACCGGCUAACUACGUGCCAGCAGCCGCGGUGAUACGUAGGGUGCGAGCGUUGUCCGGAUUUAUUGGGCGUAAAGGGCUCGUAGGUGGUUGAUCGCGUCGGAAGUGUAAUCUUGGGGCUUAACCCUGAGCGUGCUUUCGAUACGGGUUGACUUGAGGAAGGUAGGGGAGAAUGGAAUUCCUGGUGGAGCGGUGGAAUGCGCAGAUAUCAGGAGGAACACCAGUGGCGAAGGCGGUUCUCUGGGCCUUUCCUGACGCUGAGGAGCGAAAGCGUGGGGAGCGAACAGGCUUAGAUACCCUGGUAGUCCACGCUGUAAACGGUGGGUACUAGGUGUGGGGUCCAUUCCACGGGUUCCGUGCCGUAGCUAACGCUUUAAGUACCCCGCCUGGGGAGUACGGCCGCAAGGCUAAAACUCAAAGGAAUUGACGGGGCCCCGCACAAGCGGCGGAGCAUGCGGAUUAAUUCGAUGCAACGCGUAGAACCUUACCUGGGUUUGACAUGGAUCGCGAGUGCUCAGAGAUGGGUGUGCCUCUUUUGGGGUCGGUUCACAGGUGGUGCAUGGCUGUCGUCAGCUCGUGUCGUGAGAUGUUGGGUUAAGUCCCGCAACGAGCGCAACCCUUGUUCACUGUUGCCAGCACGUUAUGGUGGGGACUCAGUGGAGACCGCCGGGGUCAACUCGGAGGAAGGUGGGGAUGACGUCAAGUCAUCAUGCCCCUUAUGUCCAGGGCUUCACGCAUGCUACAAUGGCUGGUACAGAGAGUGGCGAGCCUGUGAGGGUGAGCGAAUCUCGGAAAGCCGGUCUCAGUUCGGAUUGGGGUCUGCAACUCGACCUCAUGAAGUCGGAGUCGCUAGUAAUCGCAGAUCAGCAACGCUGCGGUGAAUACGUUCCCGGG
rnacentral:rRNA from 1 species